rnacentral:rRNA from 1 species
CCUACGGGUGGCAGCAGUGAGGAAUAUUGGACAAUGGUCGGAAGACUGAUCCAGCCAUGCCGCGUGCAGGAUGAAGGUCUUAUGGAUUGUAAACUGCUUUUGUAAGGGAAGAAUAAGGGCUACGUGUAGUUUGAUGACGGUACCUUACGAAUAAGCAUCGGCUAACUCCGUGCCAGCAGCCGCGGUAAUACGGAGGAUGCGAGCGUUAUCCGGAAUCAUUGGGUUUAAAGGGUCCGUAGGCGGGCUGGUAAGUCAGAGGUGAAAGCGCUCAGCUCAACUGAGCAACUGCCUUUGAAACUGUUGGUCUUGAAUGAUUGUGAAGUAGUUGGAAUGUGUAGUGUAGCGGUGAAAUGCUUAGAUAUUACACAGAACACCGAUAGCGAAGGCAUAUUACUAACAAUUGAUUGACGCUGAUGGACGAAAGCGUGGGGAGCGAACAGGAUUAGAUACCCUGGUAGUC